AUCACUUUUCUUCUCUCUUUUCUCUCACAGGCACCAGCUUCCUCAACCUUCUCUCUCUCUUUUCCCUUUGUCGACCACCCAAAACAGAAACCCCUCUUCGCAGCUAGACGUCGCCCCCAGCAGCUUUUUCUUGACGUCAGAUCACAAGACCCUCAACUCUAAACUCCUCUAAUCGACGGUUCCAACGGGACCCCACAUCUCCAUUCAGAGCAUUAGUGGAAGUUGGAGUCAAUCUAAGAAUGAACAAAGACCAAUUCGUAGACGAUGGGACCUAGCUUGAAGAGUCCACUCAUGUUCACCCUUGGUAGGUAAUAUGGCAUUCAGUAGCUGAACCUUCACCCAAGGUCACUCCGUUGGAAGUCGGGAGUCUUUUGCCUGUGUAUGUGUACAUGUGAUGUAAAUCACUAAGAUACAUGUUAUAAAUAGUAUACAUUUAUUUUGAUUAACGUUGCCACUAUGAGUUGGCAAUGGUUGACAUUGUUUUGGGUUAAUAUAAAUGUAAGUAUUUAGUUGUCAUAGCACAUUA